rnacentral:rRNA from 1 species
UGCCAGCCGCCGCGGUAAUACGGAGGGUGCAAGCGUUGUUCGGAAUUACUGGGCGUAAAGAGCGUGUAGGCGGUCUGUUAAGUCGGGUGUGAAAGCCCAGGGCUCAACCCUGGAACUGCAUUCGAAACUGGCAAACUGGAGUGUCGGGGAGGGUGGUAGAAUUCCCGGUGUAGAGGUGAAAUUCGUAGAUAUCGGGAGGAAUACCGGUGGCGAAGGCGACCACCUGGCCAGAUACUGACGCUGAGGUGCGAAAGCGUGGGGAGCAAACAGGAUUAGAUA